GAUACCGAUGCGGUGACGCAGAGGGUAAAUCCAAGCAGACUGAUGGAUGUCUGUCUAACUUUGUAGGGGUUAUGUGAGGCAAAUCCUUGCAUUAUAAAUCCCUGAUGAAGGACGGGGACUGUGCAGCGAUGCAUGGGAACUUGGAGGAGCCGUACUGCCAAGAAAGAGCCGCUCAGGGAGGUUAUUUGUUGCCCGUACCGGAAACCGACACAGGUGGACGAGGGUAGUACCCAAAGGCGCACAAGAGAACCCCUGUUAAGGAACUCGGCAAAAUGCACGUGUAACUUCGGGAUAAGCGUGGCCUCAAGUAAGUGAUGGGGAGAAACCGAAGCUGAAAGAGGUUGCGAAAAAGAGGCUCUGGCGACUGUUUACCAAAAACACAGAUCUCUGCUAAGACUUAAGUCUAAGUAUAGGGAUUGAGACCUGCCCGGUGCCAGAAGGUUAAAGAAGGGGGUCAACGGGGUAACCCGUGAAGCUCUUGACUGAAGCCCUGGUAAACGGCGGCUGUAACGAUAACAGUCCUAAGGUAGCGAAAUUCCUUGUCGGGUAAGUUCCGAUCUGCAUGAAUGGUAUGACGACUGGAGCGCUGUCUCAACAGGGGACUUGGUGAAAUUGAAGUAUCGGUGCAAAUACCGAUUACCCGCAGCUAGACGGAUAGACCCUGUGAACCUUUACUGUACCCUGGCAUUGUAUUCUGGCACGUUCUGUGUAGGAUAGGUGGGAGGCUAUGAAGCGUGGGCGCCAGCUUGCGUGGAGCCAACCUUGAAAUACCACCCUUAACGUGUCGGACUACUAACGGAUGCUGUGGAAGCAUCUAGACAGUGUCAGGCGGGCAGUUUGACUGGGGCGGUCACCUCCCAAAGUGUAACGGAGGUGUACGAAGGUUCCCUCGAGCUGUAUAGAAAUCAGCUGAAAGAGCGUAAAGGUAUAAGGGAGCUUGACUGCGAGAGAGACAUCUCGAGCAGGGACGAAAGUCGGUCUUAGUGAUCCGGUGGUUUUUGUAUGGAAGAGCCAUCGCUUAACGGACAAAAGGUACUCCGGGGAUAACAGGCUGAUACCGCCCAAGAGUUCACAUCGACGGCGGUGUUUGGCACCUCGAUGUCGGCUCAACUCAUCCUGGGGCUGAAGUAGGUCCCAAGGGUUCGGCUGUUCGCCGAUUAAAGAGUUACGUGAGCUGGGUUCAGAACGUCGUGAGACAGUUCGGUCCCUAUCUACUGUGGGCGCUGGAUAUUUGAGGGGAGCUGUUCCUAGUACGAGAGGAUCGGAAUGGACGUACCUCUGGUGCACCAGUUGUCGUGCCAACGGCACAGCUGGGUAGCUAUGUACGGAAGGGAUAACCACUGAAAGCAUCUAAGUGGGAAGCCUCCCCCAAGAUUAGAUACCCCUCAAGGUUCCAGGUAGACUACCUGGUUGAUAGGUCGCAGGUGUAAGUACAGUAAUGUAUUCAGCCGAGCGAUACUAAUAAACCGUUUGACUUGCCCCC
rnacentral:rRNA from 1 species